rnacentral:rRNA from 1 species
AUUGAACGCUGGCGACAUGCCUUACACAUGCAAGUCGAACGGCAGCACGGGUGCUUGCACCCGGUGGCGAGUGGCGAACGGGUGAGUAAUACAUCGGAACGUACCUUAUCGUGGGGGAUAACGCAGCGAAAGCUGUGCUAAUACCGCAUACGCCCUGAGGGGGAAAGCGGGGGAUCGAAAGACCUCGCGCGAUUGAGCGGCCGAUGCCUGAUUAGCUUGUUGGUGGGGUAAAAGCCCACCAAGGCGACGAUCAGUAGCUGGUCUGAGAGGACGAUCAGCCACACUGGGACUGAGACACGGCCCAGACUCCUACGGGAGGCAGCAGUGGGGAAUUUUGGACAAUGGGGGCAACCCUGAUCCAGCAAUGCCGCGUGAGUGAAGAAGGCCUUCGGGUUGUAAAGCUCUUUUGUCAGGGAAGAAACACCGGCUCUAACACAGUCCGGGAAUGACGGUACCUGAAGAAUAAGCACCGGCUAACUACGUGCCAGCCGCCGCCGUAA